GAUGAACGCUGGCGGCGUGCCUAAUACAUGCAAGUCGAGCGAACGGACGAGAAGCUUGCUUCUCUGAUGUUAGCGGCGGACGGGUGAGUAACACGUGGAUAACCUACCUAUAAGACUGGGAUAACUUCGGGAAACCGGAGCUAAUACCGGAUAAUAUUUUGAACCGCAUGGUUCAAAAGUGAAAGACGGUCUUGCUGUCACUUAUAGAUGGAUCCGCGCUGCAUUAGCUAGUUGGUAAGGUAACGGCUUACCAAGGCAACGAUGCAUAGCCGACCUGAGAGGGUGAUCGGCCACACUGGAACUGAGACACGGUCCAGACUCCUACGGGAGGCAGCAGUAGGGAAUCUUCCGCAAUGGGCGAAAGCCUGACGGAGCAACGCCGCGUGAGUGAUGAAGGUCUUCGGAUCGUAAAACUCUGUUAUUAGGGAAGAACAUAUGUGUAAGUAACUGUGCACAUCUUGACGGUACCUAAUCAGAAAGCCACGGCUAACUACGUGCCAGCAGCCGCGGUAAUACGUAGGUGGCAAGCGUUAUCCGGAAUUAUUGGGCGUAAAGCGCGCGUAGGCGGUUUUUUAAGUCUGAUGUGAAAGCCCACGGCUCAACCCGUGGAGGGUCAUUGGAAACUGGAAAACUUGAGUGCAGAAGAGGAAAGUGGAAUUCCAUGUGUAGCGGUGAAAUGCGCAGAGAUAUGGAGGAACACCAGUGGCGAAGGCGACUUUCUGGUCUGUAACUGACGCUGAUGUGCGAAAGCGUGGGGAUCAAACAGGAUUAGAUACCCUGGUAGUCCACGCCGUAAACGAUGAGUGCUAAGUGUUAGGGGGUUUCCGCCCCUUAGUGCUGCAGCUAACGCAUUAAGCACUCCGCCUGGGGAGUACGACCGCAAGGUUGAAACUCAAAGGAAUUGACGGGGACCCGCACAAGCGGUGGAGCAUGUGGUUUAAUUCGAAGCAACGCGAAGAACCUUACCAAAUCUUGGCAUCCUUUGACAACUCUAGAGAUAGAGCCUUCCCCUUCGGGGGACAAAGUGACAGGUGGUGCAUGGUUGUCGUCAGCUCGUGUCGUGAGAUGUUGGGUUAAGUCCCGCAACGAGCGCAACCCUUAAGCUUAGUUGCCAUCAUUAAGUUGGGCACUCUAAGCUGACUGCUGGUGACAAACCGGAGGAAGGUGGGGAUGACGUCAAAUCAUCAUGCCCCUUAUGAUUUGGGCUACACACGUGCUACAAUGGACAAUACAAAGGGCAGCGAAACCGCGAGGUCAAGCAAAUCCCAUAAAGUUGUUCUCAGUUCGGAUUGUAGUCUGCAACUCGACUACAUGAAGCUGGAAUCGCUAGUAAUCGUAGAUCAGCAUGCUACGGUGAAUACGUUCCCGGGUCU
rnacentral:rRNA from 1 species